AGUUGGUGAGUCAAAAGUAGUAGUAGUAGUAGUAACAGUAGUAACAGCAGCAGAAGCAGCACCAGCAGCAGCAGCAGUAGUAAUAAUCAUUGUUACAGACAUCCAGACAGACAAGCAGAGAUGUGCAGACAUGCCUCCAGCCACCCAGACAGGCAGAGGGGGAGAAAAAAACCCGACCCAGGGACACAUACAGGUAGGCCAGACGGGCCUCGUGCCCCCGGUACACCGAGCCCCCCGGGGCUCCCCGGCCGCUUUGGUGACUCUAGAUAACCUCGAGACGAUCGCUUGCCCUCGUGGCGGCGACGACUCAUUCGAAUGUCUGCCCUAUCAACUUUUCUAUGGUACUUUCUGUGCCUACCAUGGUGACCAUGGGUAACGGGGAAUCAGGGUUCGAUUCCGGAGAGGGAGCCUGAAUACCGCAGCUAGGAAUAAUGGAACAGGACUCCAGUUUUAUUUUGUGGGUCUUCUCUCUGAACUGGGGCCAUGAUUAAGAGGGAUGGCCAGGGGCAUUCAUAUUGUGCCGCUAGAGCAUUUGCCAAGAAUGUUUUCAUUAAUCAAGAACGGAAGACCAUCAGAUACCAUCGUAGUUCCGACCAUAAACGAUGCCAACUAGCGAUCCGGUGGUGUUUUUCCCAUGACCCGCCGGGCAGCGACCGGGAAACAAAGUCUUUGGGUUCCA
rnacentral:ncRNA from 1 species